GAGGUUGUGGCUCAGUGGUAGAGUGCUUGCCUAGCAUGUGUGAGGCACUGGGUUCAAUUCUCAGCACCACA
rnacentral:tRNA from 1 species